rnacentral:rRNA from 1 species
GACUUUCCAGAGAUGGAUUGGUGCCUUCGGGAACUCUGAGACAGGUGCUGCAUGGCUGUCGUCAGCUCGUGUUGUGAAAUGUUGGGUUAAGUCCCGCAACGAGCGCAACCCUUAUCCUUGUUUGCCAGCGAGUAAUGUCGGGAACUCCAGGGAGACUGCCGGUGAUAAACCGGAGGAAGGUGGGGACGACGUCAAGUCAUCAUGGCCCUUACGAGUAGGGCUACACACGUGCUACAAUGGCGCAUACAGAGGGCGGCCAACUUGCGAAAGUGAGCGAAUCCCAAAAAGUGCGUCGUAGUCCGGAUUGGAGUCUGCAACUCGACUCCAUGAAGUCGGAAUCGCUAGUAAUCGUGGAUCAGAAUGCCACGGUGAAUACGUUCCCGGGCCUUGUACACACCGCCCGUCACACCAUGGGAGUGGGCUGCAAAAGAAGUAGGUAGUUUAACCUUCGGGGGGACGCUUACCACUUUGUGGUUCAUGACUGGGGUGAAGUCGUAACAAGGUAGCGCUAGGGGAACCUGGCGCUGGAUCACCUCCUUA